ACAAUGUGCAGUUAUAGGAUCCGAAAGAAAGGAAAAUUUAUGUUAAUGAUCACCAGUUGGAAAUCUUUUUCUUAGGACUGUCCUGGGACUAAUUUUGCAUCACCUCUCCAAUGUGAGGAACACAAAUAUGAGCUCACAUGAUACAUUCUGCUCUAAUGGAUGUGCUGAUUUCUAUGAUCCCUGAGAAAAGAGAAACACAUGAGGUUGGGUUCCUGCGAGAGGAAGAAUCGUGGGGAAGAGCUUUGGGGAGGACUGUCUGCAGGAACAAUACUCCCAAAGGAGGGAGUGAGGGGAGCAGGAUUGGACAAAGAGAGGAGUUAACCUGAGAAGCGGUUCCAAGAAAUGCCUCACGGGGAGCCCCAGAGCUGGGACAGCCUGUCAGAGUUACCCCAAAUGAAGAGGGGGCCCAGGUCUUCGAUUCCAUUGACCCGUCACUGGAUGAGGGCUGAUUCCAGGAAGGAGGCAUAGCCUUGGACAUAACUGUAAGUGAGGCAGCUUCCUCAGAAGGAAGGAAUUCCUGGAGAGAGACUCAGCUCUGAGCCAACAGCCGACACUGCCCGCAGCUGAAAAUGAGUGUGUCAGUCCUGCUGGAGGGGUUUAGGUGGCACACCAAAGCAUCCCCUCAAAUCCUUCUCUUAUAACAGAUCAAGUUGCAGUUUUAUGUGUCAGUUUGGGAAAAUUUAAAAGCUUCUUCAUAUUUUGUAAAACAUGAGCACUCAAGGGGCUUACCCAGUGGUGCAGCAGUUAAGUUUGCACAUUCUGCUUCGGUGGCCUGAGGUUCACCAGUUCAGAUCCCGGGUGUGGACAUGGCGUGGCCUGGCAAGCCAUGCUGUGGCAGGCUCCCACAUAUAAAGCAGAGGAGAUGGGCACAGAUAUUAGCUCAGGACCAGUCUUCCUCAGCAAAAAGAGGAGGAUUGGUGGCAGACAUUAGCUCAGGGCUAAUCUUCCUCAAAAAAAAAAAAAAAUGAACACAAAAAUUAAAAACACUUUUGAGAUGGUAGGUAACUGACAGAGAUGGACCACAAUUGUUUAUUUUCCCCAUAAUGCUACAACAUGUUAGAAACAGUAGUUUUGUAAGCUGAUCCCGAAAGAAAAUAAAAUUUUCUUGGAAAAUGCA
rnacentral:lncRNA from 1 species